UGUCUCGACUGACCACCUGACAAACUAUUCAAAGUCUAGUUUGCAUUUUCUAUUCAAUAUUUGAAAAAGUAGUCUCCUUAUAUAGAAUUGUUCACUGUAGUUAGCCACGGGAUAUUCCCCCCGAAUAUAAAAAAAUCAUUUACGACUUGUUUUUUCUUAUUUUUGGUAUUUUUUGCAGUAUUUUCUAACAUGGAAUUGGAACAGGCGCUUCACCCCUGUCACGCCCGUUUCGUCCUGUUUUCAGCCCUGGUUCAGAGGUCGCCCGAGCUGAAUUUCCACUAAGCGAAGUGGAUUGUAGCUAUAGCUGAAGGACAUUUCAAAUUAUAUUUUUGGUAUUUCCACCAAUUUUCCACGAAUAAUUACUGCAAACUUAAGCGUGGCGUUAGCCGUUCAUUCAAGUCCGAACGGAACUCUGAAACAAGCAAUCCACCCAGAAAUAAACAAAGAAAUGUUGCCUCGAAUUUCUGUCGGACAAUAAGCAAAAAACAACAACGCAGACUUAAAGACAAAGAAGAAGCAAAACAAACUUUAAGUCAAUACAGUACCUACACAUAAAAAAAAAAAUAAAAAUAACACAAUACGAACAAAGUAGAAGAGGAAGCAGCAUGGGAUGGGCAGCAAACUAAAGCAAACCCCCCGGCCGCCCGCAAGGGAGCGAGCUUGCCAGAAAAGCAAAAGGAAGAAGCAACACAAGUAAAACAAAACGAAAAUAUGUGUAGAUGUGGGCGUGUGUGUGUGUGAGUGGGUGGGUUAACUGGCAACGGUGCGGGCAAACGUAAAUCAAACAAAAAUAAAACAAAGCAAAACAAAUAAAAUAAACAAAACUACGCAGAAGUAGCAGGCAGACGUCAACGAGAACGACAGCGACAGCGACGCCGACGCCGACGACGACGGCAAAAACAACAGCAGAAUGGAAAGGGCAGGGGGUGUCAUGAAAGAAUGAAAGAAGCCAAAGCAAAACAACCAAAUGAAAUUGUACAAAACAUGGCAAUGCAAUGAUAAUUAUGAUGAUACUAAUGUUGUUGUUGAUGAUGAUGAUGAUGAUGAUGAUGAUUAAGCAAACGAAGCAAAUUCCGUUAGCUAAAACAAACA